AGCAGCCGCGGUAAUUCCAGCUCCAAUAGCGUAUAUUAAAGUUGUUGCAGUUAAAAAGCUCGUAGUUGAAUUUCGGGGUUAGUAGGUUGGUCAUGCCUCUGGUAUGUACUGGUCUCACUGAUUCCUCCUUCCUGAUGAACCUUAAUGCCAUUAAUUUGGUGUUUUGGGGAAUUUGGACUGUUACUUUGAAAAAAUUAGAGUGUUUAAAGCAAGCUAACGCUUGAAUACAUUAGCAUGGAAUAAUGAAAUAGGACGUUCGAUCCUAUUUUGUUGGUUUCUAGGAUUGACGUAAUGAUUAAUAGGGAUAGUUGGGGGCAUUAGUAUUCAAUUGUCAGAGGUGAAAUUCUUGGAUUUAUUGAAGACUAACUACUGCGAAAGCAUUUGCCAAGGAUGUUUUCAUUAAUCAAGAACGAAAGUUAGGGGAUCGAAGACGAUCAGAUACCGUCGUAGUCUUAACCAUAAACUAUGCCGACUAGGGAUCGGAUGAUGUUAAUUUUUUUAAUGACUCA
rnacentral:rRNA from 2 species